rnacentral:rRNA from 1 species
AGAGUUUGAUUAUGGCUCAGGAUGAACGCUGGCGGCGUGCCUAACACAUGCAAGUCGGACGGGAGUAAACUUGUUUGCUCCAGUGGCGCACGGGUGAGUAACACGUAGCUGACCUGUCCUGGAGGGAGGGACAACCCCGGGAAACCGGGGCUAAACCCGCAUAAGCCCACAGCGAUUAGUGCGCGGUGGGAAAACGUGGCAACACGACUUCAGGAGGGGGCUGCGGCCCAUCAGGUAGUUGGUGGGGUAAGAGCCUACCAAGCCGACGACGGGUAGGGGGUCUGAGAGGGUGGUCCCCCACACUGGGACUGAGACACGGCCCAGACUCCUACGGGAGGCAGCAGUGAGGAAUAUUGGUCAAUGGCCGCAAGGCUGAACCAGCGACGCCGCGUGGGCGAUGAAGGCUUUCGGGUCGUAAAGCCCUUUUCUGCGUGACGAGGAAGGACGGUAGCGCAGGAAGAAGCGUCGGCUAACUACGUGCCAGCAGCCGCGGUAAAACGUAGGACGCAAGCGUUAUCCGGAGUUACUGGGCGUAAAGGGCGUGUAGGCGGCGCUUCAAGUUCGUCGUGAAAGACCCCGGCUCAACCGGGGGAGGUCGAGGGAGACUGAGGCGCUGGAGGACGGUAGAGGGACAGGGAAUUCCGGGUGUAGUGGUGAAAUGCGUAGAGAUCCGGAGGAACACCAGUGGCGAAGGCGCUGUCCUGGGCCGUUGCUGACGCUGAGACGCGACAGCAUGGGGAGCGAACGGGAUUAGAAACCCCGGUAGUCCAUGCCGUAAACGAUGCCGACUGGGUGUUCGGCUCCCGGAAGGGAGUUGGGUGCCGCAGCUAACGCGCGAAGUCGGCCGCCUGGGGAGUACGGUCGCAAGGCUAAAACUCAAAGGAAUUGACGGGGGCCCGCACAAGCAGCGGAGCGUGUGGUUUAAUUCGAGGCUACCCGAAGAACCUUACCUGGGUUUGACAUCACCGUGGUAGCGAGCCGAAAGGCGAGCGACCUUCGGGAGCGGUGACAGGUGCUGCAUGGCUGUCGUCAGCUCGUGUCGUGAGAUGUACGGUUAAGUCCGCAAACGAGCGCAACCCCCGGUCGUAGUUACAUGUUUGUCUACGACGACUGCCCGUGAGAAACGGGAGGAAGGUGGGGAUGACGUCAAGUCAGCAUGGCCUUUAUAUCCAGGGCGACACACACGCUACAAUGGACGGUACAGAAGGGAGCGAAAGCGCGAGCUGGAGCCAACCCGAGAAAGCCGUUCGUAGUUCGGAUUGCAGGCUGCAACCCGCCUGCAUGAAGUUGGAGUUGCUAGUAACCGCCGGUCAGCCAAACGGCGGUGAAUACGUUCCCGGGCCUUGUACACACCGCCCGUCACGUCAUGGGAGCGGGUCACGCCUGAAGUCGGGAAGAUAACCGCAAGGAGCCUACCGCCGAGGGCAGGGCCGGUGACUGGGACGAAGUCGUAACAAGGUAACCA